CGGACGGGUGAGUAACGCGUGGGUAACCUGCCCUGUACAGGGGGAUAACAGCUGGAAACGGCUGCUAAUACCGCAUAAGCGCACGAGGAGACAUCUCCUUGUGUGAAAAACUCCGGUGGUACAGGAUGGGCCCGCGUCUGAUUAGCUGGUUGGCAGGGUAACGGCCUACCAAGGCAACGAUCAGUAGCCGGUCUGAGAGGAUGAACGGCCACAUUGGAACUGAGACACGGUCCAAACUCCUACGGAGGCAGCAUG
rnacentral:rRNA from 1 species